rnacentral:rRNA from 1 species
GAUGAACGCUGGCGGCGUGCCUAAUACAUGCAAGUCGAGCGAAGCGGGGACGGGUGAGUAACGCUUGGAUAACAUCCUAUAGUAAUGGGAUAACUUCGGGAAAACGGAGCUAAACCCGAUACUUAUAAAUGAGUCCGCGCUGCAUUAGCUAGUUGGUAAGUUAACGGCUUACCAAGGCAACGAUGCAUAGCCGACCUGAGAGAGUGAUCGGCCACACUGGAACUGAGACACGGUCCAGACUCCUACGGGAGGCAGCAGUAGGGAAUCUUCCGCAAUGGGCGAAAGCCUGACGGAGCAACGCCGCGUGAGUGAAGAAGGUUUUCGGAUCGUAAAGCUCUGUUAUUGGGGAAGCGGUACCUAAUCAGAAAGUCACGGCUAACUACGUGCCAGCCGCCGCGGUAAUAC